AUACUUACCUGGCAGGGAGAUACCUGGCGAUCACGAAGGUGGUUUUCCCCAGGGUUAGGCUUAUCCAUUGCACCCGGAUAAAGACUUCUGCGAUUUCCCAAAUGUGGGAAAACUCUGACGUGCUAAUUUUGUGGUAGUGGGGACUGCGUUCGCGCUUUCCCCU
rnacentral:snRNA from 1 species